GUUGGUUCUGAGGUUCAGGUUCGCGAGGAGCUAGGACGCGGCCACCAGCUGGAACUUGGAAGUCGUUAACAGGGGAGUAACCCGCUCAAGGGAACGUCCUUGGCUCUGGCCUUGACCUCCAUCUCUUAGGUGCCUGUUGUUUUUAAGCCAGGAUCCUGGCAGCGGUAAAAAGUAUAAACGAGGAUGGUUUUAGAAGCUGGGAAGUCCAUGAUCAGAGUGUCAGCAGAUUUGGUUCCUGGUAAAGGACUGCUUCCUGCUUGCAGACAGCAGGCUUCUCACCGUUUGCUCACAGGACAGAGAGAACUAGCUCUUUUCUCUCUUCCUCUUAUAAGUUUUCUAAGCCCAUCAAGCACCGCCCACCUCAUGACCUCACCUAAACCUAGGUUCAAAGGAUUUGUUAACAAAAUAAGCCACUCUUUAUAUACAAAUAAACAAUACAAAUAUUACAGAACUAUCUAGUCUACUUUCAAUAUAUACUAACAUUAAAAGGAAAAUGAAAUAGAAACAACAGAGGAGAGCAAUAGUACUGCUGCUGCUGCUGCUAAGUCACUUCAGUCAUGUCCGACUCUGUGCGACCCCAUAGACAGCCUCCUACCAGGCUCCCCCAUCGCUGGGAUUCCCCAGGCAAGAACAUUGGAGUGGGUUGCCAUUUCCUUCUCCAAUGCAUGAAAGUGAAAAGUGAAAGUGAAGUCGCUCAGUCGAGUCUGACUCUUAGCGACCCCAUGGACUGCAGCCUACUAGUAUGCUGCUGCUGCUGCUGCUAAAUCGCUUCAGUCGUGUCCAACUCUGUGGGACCCCAUGGACUGCAGCCACCCAGGUUCCUCCGUCCAUGAGAUUUUCCAGGCAGGAGUACUGGAGUGGGUUGCCAUUGCCUUCUCCUGUGCCUACCAGUAUAUAUAUCACCAAAUUGAAUUUUCCGACAUUCAGACUUAAACAGUGCUGGGAAGUAUCCUGUGACAGUCUGGAGUUCCAAUUGGGAAAAGGUCCCAGGCAGUGCAUCUACUGUGUGGGUGAGACUUUGGACUGCUGUUUCUGGCCCCCUCUGUUUAU
ensembl:lncRNA